rnacentral:rRNA from 1 species
AUUGAACGCUGGCGGCAUGCCUUACACAUGCAAGUCGAACGGCAGCACGGGGGCAACCCUGGUGGCGAGUGGCGAACGGGUGAGUACUGCAUCGGAAUGUACCCAGUGGUGGGGGAUAACUAGUCGAAAGACUAGCUAAUACCGCAUACGCACUGAGGUGGAAAGCGGGGGAUCGCAAGACCUCGCGCUAUUGGAGCAGCCGAUGCCCGAUUAGGUAGUUGGUGGGGUAAAAGCCUACCAAGCCGACGAUCGGUAACUGGUCUGAGAGGACGACCAGUCACACUGGGACUGAGACACGGCCCAGACUCCUACGGGAGGCAGCAGUGGGGAAUUUUGGACAAUGGGGAAACCCUGAUCCAGCAAUGCCGCGUGUGUGAAGAAGGCCUUCGGGUUGUAAGCGACUUUUGGUCGGGACGGAAACGGCGCUGGUUAAUAACCUGGCGCUAAUGACGGUACCCGCAGAAUAAGACACCGGCUAACUACGUGCCAGCAGCCGCGGUAAAAGUC